GGCGCGGAUCGAUUGGCCGGGCGGCGCGUGCGCGGCGGGGUCGCGCGGGGCUCCCUCAGAAAAUGGCGGCGGAGCGGGCCGAGGCGGCGGCCGGUGGCGGCGGCGGCGGCGGAGCGGGGGGGGGCGGAGGGGGCGACCUGCCGCCCUACGCGGGCUGGACCCCGGCCGAGCUGCAGGCCACCCUGGCCGGCAUCGGCGCCCCCGCCCAGGGUACCCGGGAGGAGUUGGUGGAGCGGCUGCAGGCCUACACCAUGCAGACAGGGAUCGUCCUCAGCCGCCCCGUUCUGCGCCCGGAGGAGGGUGACAAGGCUGCCCAGCCCCCGCUGCCGGCGCAGUUGCCCAGCCUGCCCCUGCAGCACCCAUUGGUGCCCCCCCCCCCCCACCGGGGCUGGGGCUGAGCUACGGGCUGGGGGUGCCCCCCCCGCCGCCCCCCCCCUGGGUUGCGGGGGCCGGGGGCCGAGGGGCUGUCGGAGGAGGAGCGGCUGACGCUGGCCCAGCAGCAAGCGGCCCUGCUGCUGCAGGAGGAGAGGGCCCAGCAGGGCCAGCACCCGUUUGGAGACAAGGCCAAGGAGCAGGAGCUGCUGGAACAGCAGAAGCGGGCGGCGGUGCUGCUGGAGCAGGAGCGGCAGCAGGAGAUGGCCAAGCUGGCGCCCGCAG